AGUUUGAUCAGUGGCUCGAGGACGAACGCUGGCGGCGUGCCUAACACAUGCAAGUCGAGCGGGGUCCAUCCGGUAGCAAUACCGGGGAAGACCUAGCGGCGAACGGGCGAGUAACACGUGAGAAACCUGCCCCGAAGUCUGGGAUAACCCGAGGAAACUCGAGCUAAUACCGGAUGUCUUCUUCUGAUCGCAUGGUCGGAUGAAGAAAGAUUUAUCGCUUCGGGAGGGUCUCGCGGCCUAUCAGCUAGUUGCGGGGUAACGGCCCACCAAGGCGUCGACGGGUAGCUGGUCUGAGAGGACGAUCAGCCACACUGGGACUGAGACACGGCCCAGACUCCUACGGGAGGCAGCAGUGGGGAAUAUUGCGCAAUGGGCGAAAGCCUGACGCAGCAACGCCGCGUGCGGGAUGAAGGCCUUCGGGUUGUAAACCGCUUUCAGUGGGGACGAAUUCAGACGGUACCCACAGAAGAAGCCCCGGCCAACUACGUG
rnacentral:rRNA from 1 species